rnacentral:misc_RNA from 1 species
AAAUUAAUGAAGGUUGUACAAAUACUAGAAGAAUAUCCAAAUGAAUACCGCUUGUAUACACUUCAACUUCAACACUUGCAUAAACACAUCUCGCACUCGCUCAACAACAAAAUAUUUCUAAGACUUACAAAUUUCAUAAACAUCAGCAACAGCAACAAGAAGAUAAUGGUAUAAAAAAUAAUCCUAAAGUGGGUCCAUGGAAAUCUAACUUUUAAACUGAAUACCAAAAAGCUCCAUCAACCAACCUUGGCUCACUGAAACCUUUCCAAUGAUUUAUCUAUCGUACACUUCAUAAUCAUUCAUCAUUGAACUGUACAAAAAAUCAACUUUGAACACCAACAACGAGAA